UCCUACGGGGGGCAGCAGUAGGGAAUAUUGCUUAAUGGGCGCAAGCCUGAAGCAGCAACGCCGCGUGUGCGAUGAAGGCCUUCGGGUCGUAAAGCACUUUUGAACGGGAAGAGGAAGGACGGUACCGUUCGAAUCAGCCUCGGCUAACUACGUGCCAGCAGCCGCGGUAAAACGUAGGAGGCGAGCGUUAUCCGGAUUUACUGGGUGUAAAGCGCGUGCAGGCGGUGGGUUAAGUUGGGUGUGAAAGCUCCUGGCUCAACUGGGAGAGGUCGCUCAAAACUGGCCGACUGGAGAAUGGUAGGGGAAGGUGGAAUUCCGGGUGUAGUGGUGAAAUGCGUAGAUAUCCGGAGGAACACCAGUGGCGAAAGCGGCCUUCUGGACCAUAUCUGACGCUCAGACGCGAAAGCUAGGGGAGCAAACGGGAUUAGAUACCCCGGUAGA
rnacentral:rRNA from 1 species